CUGAGUACGGCGGAACACGUGAAAUUCCGUCGGAAUCCGGGAGGACCAUCUCCCAAGGCUAAAUACUCCCUAGUGACCGAUAGUGAACCAGUACCGUGAGGGAAAGGUGAAAAGCACCCCGGAAGGGGAGUGAAACAGUUCCUGAAACCGUGUGCCUACAAGUAGUUAGAGCCCGUUAAUGGGUGAUAGCGUGCCUUUUGUAGAAUGAACCGGCGAGUUACGAUUUGUUGCAAGGUUAAGCGGAAAAAGCGGAGCCGUAGCGAAAGCGAGUCUGAAUAGGGCGCAUAAGUAACAGGUCGUAGACCCGAAACCAGGUGAUCUACCCAUGUCCAGGAUGAAGGUAAGGUAAUACUUACUGGAGGUCCGAACCCACGCACGUUGAAAAGUGCGGGGAUGAGGUGUGGGUAGCGGAGAAAUUCCAAUCGAACUUGGAGAUAGCUGGUUCUCUCCGAAAUAGCUUUAGGGCUAGCCUCGAGGUAAAGAGUCAUGGAGGUAGAGCACUGUUUGGACUAGGGGCCCUUCUCGGGUUACCGAAUUCAGAUAAACUCCGAAUGCCAUGUACUUAUACUCGGGAGUCAGACUGCGAGUGAUAAGAUCCGUAGUCGAAAGGGAAACAGCCCAGACCACCAGUUAAGGUCCCCAAAUAUAUGUUAAGUGGAAAAGGAUGUGGGGUUGCUUAGACAACCAGGAUGUUGGCUUAGAAGCAGCCACCAUUGAAAGAGUGCGUAAUAGCUCACUGGUCGAGUGACCCCGCGCCGAAAAUGUACCGGGGCUAAACAUAUUACCGAAACUGUGGAUGAACCUCUUUAGAGGUUCGUGGUAGGAGAGCGUUCUAAGGGCGGUGAAGUCAGACCGGAAGGACUGGUGGAGCGCUUAGAAGUGAGAAUGCCGGUAUGAGUAGCGAAAGAAGGGUGAGAAUCCCUUCCACCGAAUAUCUAAGGUUUCCUGAGGAAGGCUCGUCCGCUCAGGGUUAGUCGGGACCUAAGCCGAGGCCGAUAGGCGUAGGCGAUGGACAACAGGUAGAGAUUCCUGUAC
rnacentral:rRNA from 1 species